rnacentral:rRNA from 1 species
UACGGAGGGCGCAAGCGUUGUUCGGAAUCACUGGGCGUAAAGCGCACGUAGGCGGAUUUGUAAGUCAGGGGUGAAAUCCCGGGGCUCAACCUCGGAACUGCCUUUGAUACUGCAAAUCUCGAGUCCGGAAGAGGUGAGUGGAAUUCCUAGUGUAGAGGUGAAAUUCGUAGAUAUUAGGAAGAACACCAGUGGCGAAGGCGGCUCACUGGUCCGGUACUGACGCUGAGGUGCGAAAGCGUGGGGAGCAAACAGG